CGGUAAUACGGGGUGGGCAAGCGUUGCCCGGAAUCACUGGGCUUAAAGGGGAUGUAGGCGGCCCGGCAAGUCGGGCGUGUAAUCUGACGGCUCAACCGUCAGGCUGCGCUCGAAACUGCCGGGCUUGAGGACGGCAGAGGAGAGCGGAACUCCCGGUGUAGCGGUGAAAUGCGUAGAUAUCGGGGGGAACGCCAGUGGGGAAGCCGGCUCUCUGGGCCGUUCCUGACGCUGAGGUCCGAAAGCCAGGGUAGCGAAGGGGAUUAGAUACCCCCGUAGUCCUGGCCGUAAACGAUGGGUGCUAGGUGUGGGGAACUUUUGUUCUCCGUGCCGCAGGGAAACCGUUAAGCACCCCGCCUGGGGAGUACGCCCGCAAGGGUGAAACUCAAAGGAAUUGACGGGGGCCCGCACAAGCGGUGGAGCGCGUGGUUCAAUUCGAUGCUAAGCGAAGAACCUUACCUGGGCUUGACAUGCCGGUGGUACCGACCCGAAAGGGAAGGGACCCGCCUUCGGGCGGGAGCCGGCACAGGUGCUGCACGGCUGUCGUCAGCUCGUGCCGUGAGGUGUUGGGUUAAGUCCCGCAACGAGCGCAACCCCUGCCCUUAGUUGCCAUCGGCUCCUAUAGGGAGGCCGGGCACUCUAAGGGGACUGCCGGCGAUGAGCCGGAGGAAGGUGGGGACGACGUCAAGUCUGUGUGGCCUUUAUGCCCAGGGCUACACACGCGCUACAAUGGGCGGUACAACGGGUUGCGACCCCGCGAGGGGAAGCUAAUCCCUUAAAACCGCCCCCAGUUCGGAUUGCAGGCUGCAACUCGCCUGCAUGAAGGCGGAAUCGCUAGUAAUCGCCAAUCAGCAUGUGGCGGUGAAUACGUUCCCGGG
rnacentral:rRNA from 1 species